rnacentral:rRNA from 1 species
CAGUAGCCGCGGUAAAACGUAGGUGGCAAGCGUUGUCCGGAAUUAUUGGGCGUAAAGGGCUCGCAGGCGGUUUCUUAAGUCUGAUGUGAAAGCCCCCGGCUCAACCGGGGAGGGUCAUUGGAGACUGGGAAACUUGAGUGCAGAAGAGGAGAGUGGAAUUCCACGUGUAGCGGUAAAAUGCGUAGAGAUGUGGAGGAACACCAGUGGCGAAGGCGACUCUCUGGUCUGUAACUGACGCUGAGGAGCGAAAGCGUGGGGAGCGAACAGGAUUAGAUACCCCGGUAGUCCCUGUCUCUUAUAC